rnacentral:piRNA from 1 species
UAUAGUGAAAACAUUAUUCAA